AAACCCUAACCCUGAAACCCUUAUUACCCAGCCACCGAAACCCCUUCCCCAAACCCAGCAGCCUAGACGCACACUGAAGAAACGGGAAACAGAUAGAGAGAGACCGAAAGAGGAAGCCCGUGAAGUCGCCGCUGAGCAACCGCCGCUGUGUCCUACCUGCGCCGCCGUUCACGCUCGUCGCCGUCCAGCCGUUGGUGCGAGCUCGUUGCCGUCGAGGAGAAGCUGCCGUCGCGUUCUGAUCGUCGUCGCGCUCUGCUGCCACGAGGUCGCCGUCGUCGUUGCUUCGAAGGGAGCCGUAGUCAUCGCCGUCAUAGUCGCCGUCGAGCAUGAAGGGUGGAGGAGAGAGAGCUCGCGUCCGAGGCUGAAGAGGAGAUGCGGUCUGCGCUGCUGCCAGGGCCCAUCGCCAUCACCGUCGCAGACAUGAGAGGGGGAAAACGAGCAGAACGCGAGGAAGAGGAGGAGUUCUCGUCACUGUUGUGUGCCCAGUCAUCACUGCUGCUUCCAAUCCCGCCGUUGAUGCUGUUGCGACUAUCACCAUUGAAGCUCGCCAAAUCUGCUCCUACUUCUGGUUUCUGGAAUCUGAGGAAAUGCCACUGCCGCUGCUGUUUGUUGGGUUCAAGAUCGUUGCUGCUGUUCUUUCUCUGUUCUGCCUCUGCUUCUAGUUUUGUAGUUUUUGGAGCCUUUGCCGCUGGGAACCAAUGUUGGAGCUGCUCUUGAUGAUUCUGAUGCUGCUACGUAGGUUCCGAGAUGCUGUGUUGUUGCCAGAGGAAGGGAACUCAUAGGAAAAACGUCACCGAGGCUGCUGUUUGGUUUGAUUGCGUUGUUAAUGCGACACUGAGGGCCCCGCUACACAUACAAGCAAAUAACGCAUACAAUCCUUACAAGUUGGUCCAACUCAGGUUUAAUCCACGCGUACUCCCUCCCUUUAAAUGGAGCGUCAAUUUCACGCGCGUCACUCGAACGAUUACGCUUCGAAAAAACCGCUCGUUAUGGCUCACUCUUCCUCUUCUCCUUUAAAGAUAACACAAAUCCUCAAAUUUCGAGUAACAUUCCAAACUGAAGAGACAUUUGAACUCGUCGCGAAUAAUAGCAGAAACCAUCAACAAAAUAUUAUUCAAGAUUCCACUAAUGGGAGCAAAAUUUUGGGACACGGAGAUUGGAGUUCAUGGAAAUGGCAAUCCAUUGGGAAGCUUGAUCUGUAUAUUACAGCUGCUGGGAUAAAUCCUAAAGGGUACAUGUGCAACAUUUUCCAUUUAUUAUUUCUUUCAAACUGUUCAAAUAUUGAUAAAAUUAAUAGCUCUAAGAUGUUUGUGUUAAAAUAUCCAAGUUUUUGGUUUAAAAGUUAUGAUGAAUAAUACUUAAAAAGCAUUUUUUGAUCGAAGUUCGUGCCCUGGGAUGAUUCUGUCGCUGUGAAUGACAUUGUUGCUGGGCUAAAAGGAUUCAGAGAUGAUGAUGUGAAGCCAUUUUCUUCUGGUUUGAAUGCAGCUGAGACUCAGGCCAUGUAAUUGCAGUGCUAGUGAGGGAGAACCAUCAAGUAGUGCUGCCCAGGCAACCAUUCAAGGACACACUGUAGUUGAAGCUCUAUGAGGAAGAAAAACACUGAAAUUGAUGAACUGUGUAUAUAUUACCAUUAAUAAAUGCAUUUAAAAUUCAGAACUAAACAAGCCUCCCCCCUCCCUUUCUUUUCUCUCUCUCCAAGAUAAUAGCCCUAAUAUCAUUACAAGGUUGAAAUAUAAUCAUACUAUUAAUGUA